UACGGAGGGUGCAAGCGUUGUCCGGAUUUAUUGGGUUUAAAGGGUGCGUAGGCGGCCUUUUAAGUCAGCGGUGAAAGACCCCGGCUCAACCGGGGCAGUGCCGUUGAUACUGGAAGGCUUGAGUGUUGGAGGGGUACAUGGAAUUGAUGGUGUAGCGGUGAAAUGCAUAGAUACCAUCAGGAACACCGAUAGCGAAGGCAUUGUACUGGCCAACAACUGACGCUGAGGCACGAAAGCAUGGGUAGCGAACA
rnacentral:rRNA from 1 species